GGUCCCAUAGUUUACUGGCUAGAAUUCCGGGUUUUCACCCCGGGGAAGGGGGAUCGAAACCCCCUGGGAUCACCA
rnacentral:tRNA from 1 species